GAUGAACGCUGGCGGCGUGCUUAACACAUGCAAGUCGAACGAAGACAUCUGAGUGCUUGCACUUGGAUGGACUGAGUGGCGGACGGGUGAGUAACGCGUGGGUAACCUGCCUUAUACAGGGGGAUAACAGUUGGAAACGACUGCUAAUACCGCAUAAGCGCACGGUAUCGCAUGAUACAGUGUGAAAAACUCCGGUGGUAUAAGAUGGACCCGCGUCUGAUUAGCUUGUUGGUGAGGUAACGGCCCACCAAGGCGACGAUCAGUAGCCGGCCUGAGAGGGUGAACGGCCACAUUGGGACUGAGACACGGCCCAAACUCCUACGGGAGGCAGCAGUGGGGAAUAUUGCACAAUGGGGGAAACCCUGAUGCAGCGACGCCGCGUGAGUGAUGAAGUAUUUCGGUAUGUAAAACUCUAUCAGCAGGGAAGAUAAUGACGGUACCUGACUAAGAAGCACCGGCUAAAUACGUG
rnacentral:rRNA from 1 species